AACAAACGCUGGCGGCGUGCCUAAUACAUGCAAGUCGAACGGGGAAAGCUUUCGGGUGAGUACUAGUGGCGCACGGGUGAGGAACGCGUGGAUAAUCUGCCUUAGAGUGGGGGAUAACUAGUCGAAAGAUUAGCUAAUACCGCAUAAGACCACGAGAGCUGCGGCUUUUGAGGUCAAAGGAUUUUCGCUCUAAGAUGAGUCCGCGUAAGAUUAGCUAGUUGGUGUGGUAACGGCUCACCAAGGCGACGUUCUAUAACUGGUCUGAGAGGAUGAUCAGUCACACUGGAACUGAGACACGGUACAGACUCCUCCGGGAGGCAGGAGUAGAGAAUAUUGCACAAUGGAGGAGACUCUGAUGCAGCGACGCCGCGUGAGAGAUGAAGGCCUUCGGGUCGUAAAGCUCUGUCGCAGGGGAAUAACACAAUGAAGGUACCCUGUAAGAAAGGAUCGGCUAACUACGUG
rnacentral:rRNA from 1 species